rnacentral:snRNA from 1 species
AUACUUGCCUGGUGCCCGGGCCUCGUUGAUCGCCGAGGACGAGCCCCCUGGGCGAGGCGCGCGCGCUGCACUGCGCUCGGGUUGAUUCCUGUCACUACCCCAAACUGGGGUAAAUAGGGCAUGCAAAUUGC